CUUCUCUUAUUUUUUUUUUUUAUUUUUCCCUUUCUUUUUUACUUUUUGGUUUAUUUUUUUUCCUUUAAAAAAUAAUUGGUUCGUAAAACCAUUUUCAUAACAUUUGACGAUUUAAACGUAUGGAACUGUUUAUCUCUAUAAAAGUAAUUCAUUGAAAAAAUAUGUAGGUAAGGUCGCUAUUAAAAACAUAAUAACACAGAGAAUGAAUCUUUCUUUCUGUUGUUCUUUUCUUUUCUUGUUUCCAGACCCUUGUUGAUAAUAUCAGUGCUUAGACCUUUUAGAAGUCAUUUUGAAGGAACCGUAGACAUCUUACGUUUUGGUUCAAUCCAGGAUUAUAUUUCAUAUAUUUAGACGCUCGAAGAUGUUUCAGUAUCGAUAUCGCAGCGGGUGACCGAUGUGAUACGUGUGACCAAUGAAAUAACCCGUGAACACGAACAAAUCGUUUAAUCCAAGUUGAGCCACGGUGGAAGAUAAUGAUGACCAUAAACUGUCGGAGAAACGAAAGAAAGCGAGAUCAUGAAGAAGAAAAAGAAGAAGAAGAUGAAGAAGAAGACGAAGAAGACGACGAAGAAGAAGAAGACGAAGAAGAAGAUGAAGAAGAAGAAGACGAAGAAGGAGAAGAAGAAGGGGAGAGCGAAAGUACCUGCACAGCCAACCGAAUAGAGGGCUUGACAGGCGAAAUGGGCCUCGAGUUCCAGGCCAUGUAUACCUGGUCCUCUCUCUUUCUCUUUCUUCUUCCGUUCUUUCUUCAUUCUCUCUUUUUCUUUCUCUCUUUCUCUCUCUCUCUCUCUUUUUCUCUUUCACUUUUUCUAUUUCUCUCCUCACCGUUCUCGGAUGCCACAAGCUUGAGAUCCCAGAUGGAGGAUCCGGUUCCAGGAACUGAGCGUGUAAAACACCGGUUAAAGCCGUGCUUUCCAAGCCGGAAUCGAUGGGAAAACAAUGGCCGGACAGGUCUUAAAGUGUCUGACAAAUGUUCCACGCGUGUCGCUGCCCUGACCGAAGAGACUCACGUAAAUGAACUCAGUGAAGGGAAAUGUAGCCAAAAGCCACGUGAAAAGAUUCCUUAAACUUUCCUUAUCUUCUUUUCUUCAUUUUAUUUUUCGUUGUAUAUUUAUUUUAAACGUUUACUCAAGUGGAAGAACACUUAUUUAGAUACCUAAUGAAAUGUACUUUCGUGUAAGAAAAUAAUAGUUUAGAUUUGCUUUUA